UUCUCCAUCUCCUUUCUCUCUCUAACCGAGAGCCUCUCUCUCUAGCCUCCACCGGAAAUCGCCGCCACCGCCGGACGCCGCCGCCGCCGGCCGCUGUCGCCGGAACCCCUCUCCUCACCAAAAUUUCCAGAUUUUCUCCUCUUCCUCCCCGCUUUCCAUUUCUCCAACCAAAAUCAUGAAAUUUAGCCAUUUAAUCCUCCAAAAACCCUAGAACCCGAAGCUAAAAUUGGGGCUUUUGUGAUUUCUUCUUUCCAAGCUCAAAUCAAGGCUACGGGUUUGGCAAGGAUUUUUGGUGAAGAAGGCCAAGGAGAAGGAAUAGGCCGUGAUUUUUGAAGAACAAAGGGAAACACGAUCGUUAAGGAAGCUUAAGCGGAAAACAUCAGAGUGUGGAAUACGCCGGCAUAUUCCAGGUAGGGUGAGCUGUCCCUUCCUUGUUAGAGGCUUUUCGUUAUAUGUGGAAUGCUCUAGUAUAAUAUUAUGUUGCCUGCAAGUACGUUUUUGGUUGUUCAUUAGUCGAUGCCUCGUGAUACAUGUGUUUUCAGAACUGAUAAUUGCAAAUUGUGAAAAACCGAGGCUAGACUUGCAUGUUGAGAUACUGUACCCUUGUAUGUGUGUACUUGUGACCUGAAAGUGAAUGGGACCUAGACGCGUAGAUUCCUAGGGAUCCCACGGUGUCGAUAACCGUGAACCUCCGGAGGGGGCUGUGCUCCUAUGUUUGUCAAGGAAAGGUAAAUACAGACAGUGAACCAGUCAUAGGAGACUCAGAGCCAAGAAAUGGACACUUUCGCUACUUGUAGUCACAAAGACUACAGAGUAGUUGGCUGGUUCUCGUACUCAGGACGAACCAGGUCGGUCACUGAUUUAUUUUACUUUAGCCGGCAGGUAAGUAUCUCGGAGCUCCAAGUGUGUGAAGCAUACUGCACAUGUUUUAUGAAAGAAAACAAAUGUUUGUGGUUGCCACUUUUCUUAAAGCAUUUUUCGAUAAACGUGCACAAUAUUAUGUAGUAAAUAUUUUCAAGUAUAUUAUUUUUCAAACCUAGCAUGGUUGGGUC